GUGUUUGUUUGUGGUUUUUGAAUUUAGAAAUUGUCCCUUGUGUUUCCACACAGAAUAUACUCCUGUCCUCGAAUGACCUGGAGGACCUGCUGGGGAAUCCCGAGGACAAGUCAUUUUUGGGCUUUGGUAGAACUAAUAUGUUUCUACGACGAGGGAGUUCUCGAGGGGACGGGACGGUACCUUCAGGAUCCAAUCGGUCCAAAGGUUCGGUAGGUCGUGGGGAUGUCUUCGUGGUGGACGAGGACACAGACUUGUUGGAUCCAAUCUUCCAAAAUGGUGGACAAGUCAACCCUCAGUGGAAACCCUCCAGAAAUGGAUUUAAGGGAAACCAGAAGGGAAAACCUGAACUCUCGUCAAAACUAUUGGAGGAGAACAUUACCACAGACAAAAAGGCAGACUCCGGUGGGAGGACUUCAUCGCUAUUCCCUGGAAAACCAUCCGAUGACAUCAUUGAUCUGGACACGGGGAGUGCUACCAAGAAGCCCUUGGUGGGAUUUCCUGUACUUCCGAAGAUCCCUUCAGAUCCCAGAACAUCCACAGACUCAAACAAAUUAAGGGAGGAGACAGAUGAAAGGUCUAAGUCUGUUUCACCUACACCUCAUGUCAUUAUCUAUGGUCCAUCUGCAAAGGCAGUAGUUGAGGAUGAGAGACCCAUCACCACCGAUCACAGAGCCGAGCACAAUGGAAAACAACUAGACAAGGAGCGCCCUGGCAUUGUGACCAUUGUUUCCAGAGACAAAGACCUGGUCCUGGGCUCAGAUGGCAAAAAGUACAGGCUCCAGAGAGGGCCACCAGGCCGAAUGGGUCCCCCAGGGCAGGAAGGCUGUCCUGGUGAGCCUGGCCUGCCUGGGUUCAAAGGUGAUAAGGGUAAGAUGGGGCCUGAAGGAAGUACAGGAAAAAGGGGGGUGCCAGGACCUCCUGGACCAGCAGGUCUACCAACCCUCUACCUGUGGAAGAACACAGCAGAGGAGUGGGCUGCCUUUCAGCAAACCAAUUUCUACCAGUUACUUCUUUCUGGUUGGCCUGUAAGUAUGCUGUGA
rnacentral:lncRNA from 15 species